AAUGAACGCUGGCGGCAUGCCUUACACAUGCAAGUCGAACGGGAACAGGUCUUCCGAUGCUGACGAGGGGGGAACAGGGGAGUAAUAAAUGGGCACCUGCCCGAUCGUGGGGGACAACGAGGCGAAAGCGUUGCUAAUACCGCAGACGAUCUACAGAUGAAAGCGGGGGAUCUUCCGACCUCGCGCGGACGGAGCGGAACGAUGGCCUACUAAGCAGGUGGAGGGAUAAAAGCUUACCAAGCCGACCAUCUGUAUCAGGCCUGAGAGGAUGAUCAACCACGCUGGGACUGAGACGACGCCCACACUCCUACUGAAGGGGGCAUUGGGGAAUAUUGGACACUGGGCGAAAGACAGAUCCACCCAAGCCCCGCGCAGGAUGAAAGCCUUCGAAGAUGGAAACCGGUUUUGUACGGAACAAAAAGCCUCUUUCUAAUAAAGAGGGGUCAUGACGGCACCUGAAGAAUAAUCACCGGCAAACUACAUGCCGACAGGCGCGGAAGAACAAACGGCGCAAGCGUCCAUCGCAAUUACCGGGCGAAUAGCGUGCGCACGACGGUUUGUCAGACAGACGUGAAAUCCCCGGGACUCUACCCGGGAACUGCCUUUGAGACUGCAAGGCUGGAAUGCCGCGGAGGGGGAUGGACUUCCGCGUGCANCAGUGAAGAGCAUAGAUAUGCAAGAGAGAACACCGAUGGCAAAGGCAAUCUCCUGGGCCUGCACUGACGCUCAUGCACAAAAGCGGGGGAAGCAAACAGGAUUAAAUACCCGGGAAGUCCACCCCCAAAACAAUAUCGACUGGUUGUGGGCUCUUCGCUGACUCAGUAACAAAACUAACGCGUGAACUUCACCGCCUGGAGAGUACGGCCGCAAGGAUGAAACUCACAAGAAUUGACGGGGACCCACACAAGCGGUGGAUGAUGUGGUUUAAUACCAUGCGACUCAAAAAACCUUACCCACCUUCGACAUGGCAGGAAGUUUCCAGAGAUGGAUUCGUGCCACAAAGGGAACCGGCACACAGUUGUCGCACGGCUGUAGUCAGCUUGAGUCGUGAGAUGGUGGCUAGAGUCCCGCAACGAGCGCAACCCUUGCCAUUAGGUCAUGCGAAAGGGCCCUUUACUGGGGCUGCCGGUGACAAACCGGAGGAAGGUGGGGAAGACGUCAAGUCCUCCUGGCCCUUAUAGGUGGGGCUCCCCCCGUCAUACAAUGGGCGGUACCGAGGGUUGCCAACCCGCGAGGGGGAGGUGAUUCCAUAAAGCCAGUCGUAGUCCGGAUCGCAGUCUGCAACUCGAGUGCGUGAAGUCGGAAUCGCUAGUAAUCGCGGAUCAGCAUGUCGCGGUGAAUAAGUUCCCGGGUCU
rnacentral:rRNA from 1 species